AUUGAACGCUGGCGGCAGGCCUAACACAUGCAAGUCGAACGAGUGGCGGACGGGUGAGUAAUGUCUGGGAAACUGCCCGAUGGAGGGGGAUAACGACUGGAAACGGUAGCUAAUACCGCAUACCAUCGGAUGUGCCCAGAUGGGAUUAGAUAGUAGGGGGGGUAACGGCUCACCUAGGUGACGAUCCCUAGCUGGUCUGAGAGGAUGACCAGCCACACUGGAACUGAGAAACGGUCCAGACUCCUACGGGAGGCAGCAGUGGGGAAUAUUGCACAAUGGGCGCAAGCCUGAUGCAGCCAUGCCGCGUGUAUGAAGAAGGCCUUCGGUUUGUAAAGUACUUUCAGCGAGGAGGCGUUACUCGCAGAAGAAGCACCGGCUAACUCCGUGCCAGCCGCCGCGGUAAUUC
rnacentral:rRNA from 1 species